rnacentral:tRNA from 1 species
GUUGUUGUAGUAUAGUGGUAAGUAUUUCCAUCUGUCAUGCGGGUGAUCCGGGUUCAAUCCCCAACAGCG